UCUCCGUUGGUGAACCAGCGGAGGGAUCAUUACCGAGUACUAUAACUCAUAACCCUUUGUGAACCUUCAUACCUGUUGCUUCGGCGGCGCGCCUCCCGGGGCGUGCCCGCCGGCAUUAUCAGAAUCUCUGUUCGAACCCGACGAUACUUCUGAGUGUUCUAAGCGAACUGUUAAAACUUUCAACAACGGAUCUCUUGGCUCCAGCAUCGAUGAAGAACGCAGC
rnacentral:misc_RNA from 1 species